rnacentral:rRNA from 1 species
ACGCUGGCGGCGUGCCUAAUACAUGCAAGUCGAGCGGACCAAAGGGAGCUUGCUCCUGGAGGUUAGCGGCGAACGGGUGAGUAACACGUGGGCAACCUGCCUGUAAGACUGGGAUAACAUCGAGAAAUCGGUGCUAAUACCGGAUAAUAAAAAGAACUGCAUGGUUCUUUUUGAAAGAUGGUUUCGGCUAUCACUUACAGAUGGGCCCGCGGCGCAUUAGCUAGUUGGUGAGGUAACGGCUCACCAAGGCAACGAUGCGUAGCCGACCUGAGAGGGUGAUCGGCCACACUGGGACUGAGACACGGCCCAGACUCCUACGGGAGGCAGCAGUAGGGAAUCUUCCGCAAUGGACGAAAGUCUGACGGAGCAACGCCGCGUGAGUGAUGAAGGUUUUCGGAUCGUAAAACUCUGUUGUUAGGGAAGAACAAGUGCCGUUCGAAAGGGCGGCACCUUGACGGUACCUAACGAGAAAGCCACGGCUAACUCCGUG